rnacentral:tRNA from 1 species
GCUCUUAUAGUAUAAUGGCAUUACACAUCCUUGGUAAGGAUGAAAAACAAGUUCAAUUCUUGUUAGGAGCACCA